rnacentral:other from 1 species
AUGACCCUACCGUGUUCGUGAUGAGCAGUUUGAUCUUGAGCCAACACCUAAGUAUUGGGAACCGGUAGCAUCUCUUUAGUGCAUGCCCAUCAUCGAAUGGGUAGCCAGGUAAGAGCUGCGAGGCACCCACCUGUAUGCUUAGGUUCAUAGACGACUUCUCACACGGCACAAUGGUAGGGUUUUA